CCAGCCAGCGACUAGAUCAAUGCCGCCCAGUCUGAUCCCUGUGAUGGGAAGGUGUUUUCUGAGCUUUG
rnacentral:snoRNA from 1 species